rnacentral:misc_RNA from 1 species
UCGUAACAAGGUUUCCGUAGGUGAACCUGCGGAAGGAUCAUUAAAAAAUACAUUACACAUUGUUUUUGCGAACAAAAAAAUAAAUUUUUUUAUUCGAAUUUCUUAAUAUCAAAACUUUCAACAACGGAUCUCUUGGUUCUCGCAUCGAUGAAGAACGCAGCGAAUUGCGAUACGUAGUAUGACUUGCAGACGUGAAUCAUCGAAUCUUUGAACGCACAUUGCGCCUCGAGGCAUUCCUCGAGGCAUGCCUGUUUGAGCGUCGCAUCCCCUCUAACCCCCGGUUAGGCGUUGCUCCGAAAUAUCAACCGCGCUGUCAAACACGUUUACAGCACGACAUUUCGCCCUCAAAUCAGGUAGGACUACCCGCUGAACCUAAGCAUAUCA